GAAGCACCUGCCUAGAGAAAAGUUUUAGCAUAGAGAGCAGAAGUCAUGGGGAAAAACCUUAGCAGACCACAUCGCGGGGAAGUUAGCUGCUGAAAACCAAAUCCGAUCUAUAUAGAGGAGAGCCAUGGUAGAAUUUCUCUUUAGGAAAAAGAAAGAAGAAGAAGAAUAAGAAGAAGAAGAAGAAGAAGAAGAAGAAGAAAAGGAAUUGGAAGGGAACCCAAAUUACAUAAUUAGUUUAUAGACCAUCCAUCCACCCAUCCAUACAUCCAUCCAUGAGCUUAGGCGGAUAAGGGAUAAAUAAAUGAGAAUUGGACACAGAGGGGGUGUCACGCAUGUGAUGAGAUGGGGGGGAGAGGCCAAUAUUGGAUUAGGUUUCCCAAUGUUUGCGCCUUUACAACGCAGUGCUCUAAUCCACACAAAUGAAUUUAAAUCCCAAUUGUUGGGUAUUUUAUAUUUGAGGAUUACAGAAAUUGGGAAUGAUAUAGCUAUAUCUUUAUUA